rnacentral:rRNA from 1 species
GACGAACGCUGGCGGCGUGGAUUAGGCAUGCAAGUCGAACGGUAGGAUACCUUCGGGUAUCUGAGAGUGGCGAACGGGUGAGUAACACGUAGGUGAUCUACCCUCAAGAUUGGGACAACCCAGGGAAACUUGGGCUAAUACCGGAUGAAAGCAGCAGUGAUGUUGUUUGAAAGGUGGCGUAAGCUGCCGUUUGGGGAUGAGCCUGCGCUCUAUUAGUUAGUUGGCGGGGUAAAGGCCCACCAAGGCGAUGAUAGAUAGGCGGCCUUAACGGGUGGUCGCCCACACUGGGAUUGAGAUACGGCCCAGACUCCUACGGGAGGCAGCAGUCGAGAAUAGUCUACAAUGGCCGAAAGGCUGAUAGUGCGACGCCGCGUGAACGAAGAAGCCCUUCGGGGUGUAAAGUUCUUUUAUAUGUGAGCAGUGCUUUCUAGUGUGAACAGCAUGGGGAGAGAGAUAUUAGCAUAUGAAUAAGCAACGGCUAACUCCGUGCC